AUGAACCGAUGGCAUCGAGUUAACAAAAUGAUAAAUAAUUUCCAUUCCAUCCACGGGGAGAUUAGCGGUGUAUAUGCUAGUGGGCAGUCCAAUCAGCAAUUGAUGGAGAAAGUCCACAAAGCAUAUGAGAACAGACACGGAGGACCAUUUCUUCUGGAAAGUACCUGGCAGGUUGUUCGUCACUAUCCGAAGUGGUCUACGUACAAUGCAGAACUGAAUGGAUUGAAGAAAAUAGAUGUGGCCGACCUGGGGAAGGCAGAGGAUCAUGAGGCAGCUGAUAGUGAUGAUAUCCCACGGCCUCCAGGUACUAAAACAGCUAAAAGAGAUGGGAAUGGCAAUGACAAAAGAAAGUUGAAGUCAGAGGAUUUAGAAGAGCUUGAGAAAUUCUUAGAAGCCCAAAAAGAAGCUACUAAAAGUCGCACGGAUGUCCUUGAGGUUCAAAAGCGUAUUGCAACCGAUAAACUUGAGUCGUCGAGGCUCAUUCUCCUUGCAGCGAAGGAGAACAAGGAGGCAAAAACAAGAGGGAAAAUGCUAGAACAGUACGGUAAAUUAUUGACACAAGAUAUGGCAGGGAUGACCGAGUUUCAGAAAGCUGAGCAUGCGAUUGCACUUAAAUUGAUGCGGGAGGAGUUAUUCCCCAACGCUCGUCAAUAA
rnacentral:rRNA from 1 species